rnacentral:rRNA from 1 species
CCUAUAAGACGAGAAGACCCCAUGGAGCUUCAAACCCAACUACACCCCUAACUUCUAUAACCCCCACCCCACGGGACCCUGUAUAGUUGGUUUUAGGUUGGGGCAACCACGGAGCACAACAAAGCCUCCACAAUGAAUGGGACCACCCCCCUUAUCUAAGAGCCACACCCCUAGGAAUUAAAACAUUAAUAUAAAAUGAUCCAUUAUUUGAUCAAUGAACCAAGUUACCCUGGG